AACGCUAGCUACAGGCUUAACACAUGCAAGUCGAGGGGAAACGACAUCGAAAGCUUGCUUUUGAUGGGCGUCGACCGGCGCACGGGUGAGUAACGCGUAUCCAACCUGCCCACCACUUGGGGAUAACCUUGCGAAAGUAAGACUAAUACCCAAUGAUAUCUCUAGAAGACAUCUGAAAGAGAUUAAAGAUUUAUCGGUGAUGGAUGGGGAUGCGUCUGAUUAGCUUGUUGGCGGGGUAACGGCCCACCAAGGCGACGAUCAGUAGGGGUUCUGAGAGGAAGGUCCCCCACAUUGGAACUGAGACACGGUCCAAACUCCUACGGGAGGCAGCAGUGAGGAAUAUUGGUCAAUGGACGAGAGUCUGAACCAGCCAAGUAGCGUGCAGGAUGACGGCCCUAUGGGUUGUAAACUGCUUUUAUAAGGGAAUAAAGUGAGUCUCGUGAGACUUUUUGCAUGUACCUUAUGAAUAAGGACCGGCUAAUUCCGUGCCAGCAGCCGCGGUAAUACGGAAGGUCCGGGCGUUAUCCGGAUUUAUUGGGUUUAAAGGGAGCGUAGGCCGGAGAUUAAGCGUGUUGUGAAAUGUAGACGCUCAACGUCUGCACUGCAGCGCGAACUGGUUUUCCUUGAGUACGCACAAAGUGGGCGGAAUUCGUGGUGUAGCGGUGAAAUGCUUAGAUAUCACGAAGAACUCCGAUUG
rnacentral:rRNA from 1 species